UCCAAGUUGUAUCUAGAAGAAAGGUCAUGUG
rnacentral:piRNA from 1 species